CGGAAUUACUGGGCGUAAAGGGCUCGUAGGCGGCCAACUAAGUCAGACGUGAAAUCCCUCGGCUUAACCGGGGAACUGCGUCUGAUACUGGAUGGCUUGAGUUUGGGAGAGGGAUGCGGAAUUCCAGGUGUAGCGGUGAAAUGCGUAGAUAUCUGGAGGAACACCGGUGGCGAAGGCGGCAUCCUGGACCAACACUGACGCUGAUGAGCGAAAGCCAGGGGAGCAAACGGG
rnacentral:rRNA from 1 species